AAUGAGCAUUCGCCAUGUGCCAGGCACUACUGCCUAGGUCAUCCCAUUUUCUCAUGGUCUAUGUAGUGGGUGCUCUUAGGAUGCCUGUUUUACAGAAGAGACAAUUGGUUCAAUGAGGUUCACAGGAUUAGAAGGUGGUGCAGCAAGUUCUGGAGCCCAGGCCGUCUGAUAGGAAAUCCUGAUGCCUUAUUAUCACGAUACCCAGCCUCCCAGGAGUAUGGUGCUAACGGGCUGUGGAAUCUCUGAUAAGGUCAGAUCUUCCAGAAUUGAGGAGAAGACUCUACACAGGUCUGAAGUGAACCCUGAUCCAGAGAAGCGUAUAUAGAAAAUGAGAUCCUGCUGCAUCCCUCCCUGAACUGCUUUUUUUCUAUUCCACCUGCCACUGUUUCUUUCCAGAGACUAGAAAAAUGAGCAGCCUUCUGGACCUGCAGAAUGAACAAGUGAUUGUCUCAUCGGCCAUGAAAAUGAAAUUGUUUACACAUCCUUUCUGUGGCGUUGCGUUCAAAUCUGUUGAUUAGAAAAGAAGAAAAAAAAAAUCAUGACCUAAAUGAACACCAGAGGAGGACAAGGGGGACAGAACAGAUGAUAUUUAUGACUGGUUGAGAAUUUCCAUCUCAGCAGCUAAAAUGAUGAACUUGGGAUCACUGGAAAUGGAAAUAGUUGACUUCACAGAUGGUAGGCGGCUCUUGUCGGAGAAGACUGCUCUGAGUGUGAGCCUAAUUGAGUACUUCAUAUCUGUAUAAAUUAACAUCUUUUAAAACUA